rnacentral:rRNA from 1 species
AUGAACGCUGGCGGCGUGCCUAAUACAUGCAAGUCGAGCGAACAGACGAGGAGCUUGCUCCUAUGACGUUAGCGGCGGACGGGUGAGUAACACGUGGAUAACCUACCUAUAAGACUGGGAUAACUUCGGGAAACCGGAGCUAAUACCGGAUAAUAUAUUGAACCGCAUGGUUCAAUAGUGAAAGACGGUUUUGCUGUCACUUAUAGAUGGAUCCGCGCCGCAUUAGCUAGUUGGUAAGGUAACGGCUUACCAAGGCGACGAUGCGUAGCCGACCUGAGAGGGUGAUCGGCCACACUGGAACUGAGACACGGUCCCGACUCCUACGGGAGGCAGCAGUAGGGAAUCUUCCGCAAUGGGCGAAAGCCUGACGGAGCAACGCCGCGUGAGUGAUGAAGGUCUUCGGAUCGUAAAACUCUGUUAUUAGGGAAGAACAAAUGUGUAAGUAACUAUGCACGUCUUGACGGUACCUAAUCAGAAAGCCACGGCUAACUACGUG